UUCUUGCGCUUUAAUAUCCAGUUAAAUAUUAGCUCAUAAAUCAUCGGAUUAUAGAUAUUUUAGGGUCCAAAUUGCACCAAAUAAUGAAGUUAUGGUCUAAGACACAGAUUUACAGAAAC